rnacentral:rRNA from 1 species
AGAUUGAACGCUGGCGGCAUGCCUUACACAUGCAAGUCGAACGGCAGCGCGGACUUCGGUCUGGCGGCGAGUGGCGAACGGGUGAGUAAUAUAUCGGAACGUGCCCAGUAGCGGGGGAUAACUACGCGAAAGCGUGGCUAAUACCGCAUACGCCCGUACGGGGGAAAGGGGGGGAUUCUUCGGAACCUCUCACUAUUGGAGCGGCCGAUAUCAGAUUAGCUAGUUGGUAGAGGUAAAGGCUCACCAAGGCGACGAUCUGUAGCUGGUUUGAGAGGACGACCAGCCACACUGGGACUGAGACACGGCCCGAGACUCCGUACGGGAGGCAGCAGGUAGGGGUAAUUUCGGACUAAGUAGGGGGAAACCCUGGACUCCGAGGUACCACUCCCGCGGUGU